GCUUUCUGGCCCAUCGACUUCUCGCCCUGUGGCUGGAGAGUGCCGGCAACGGAGUCGGCGGUGCCCUUGACGGAGUCCUGGGCCUGUUCGAGCGUGCUCUUCUGGCUGUCCGGCUUGAGGUUGGACUCAAGCUUGUCACCGGCACCUUGGCGGAGGUUGUCAGUCAUGAUGGCGGUAUUGUGUUGCUGGUUGGUUUGGUUUUGAUGAUAGUGGUUCAAAG
rnacentral:misc_RNA from 1 species